GAUGAACGCUGGCGGCGUGCCUAACACAUGCAAGUCGAGCGGCAGCGCGGGGUGCUUGCACCCUGUCGGCGAGCGGCGGACGGCUGAGUAACGCGUGGGAACGUGCCCCAAAGUGAGGAAUAACUGCCCGAAAGGGUAGCUAAUACCGCAUAUUAUCUUCGGAUCAAAGGAUUUAUCCGCUUUGGGAGCGGCUCGCGUCGGAUUAGGUAGUUGGUGAGGUAAUGGCUCACCAAGCCGACGAUCCGUAGCUGGUCUGAGAGGAUGACCAGCCAGACUGGAACUGCGACACAGUCCAGACUCCUACGGGAGGGAGCAGUGAGGAAUCUACCACAAUGGGCGAAAGCCUGAUGGAGCAACGCCGCGUACAGGACGAAGGCCUUCGGGUUGUAAUCUGCUUUUAUAAGUGAGGAAUAUGACGGUAACUUAUGAAUAAGGAUCGGCUAACUACGUG
rnacentral:rRNA from 1 species